CAGGUCAGGAGGGCGAUGUGGUCACUUCCGUUUUCCCAGCUGUAGUCCCCCGCCCAUUACAUUUUGUUCUUAACACAGCAGCCAGAGUGAGCCUUUUGAAAGGGAAGAUUAUGGGGCUCUUUGGCUCACAUAGUGCAGUGUCUCCCCAUCUGACCACUAAGGCCUGGCUGUGACCAUAUCACCCCUGCAACCUCAACUCCCCUCACCUCCACUCCAGACACACCUGCUGUUCUAUGGUGCUGCCUGCAGUUCAACACCAAAGAAUAUUCUUCACUCCAGGAAGAAAAAAGGUUUCCUCCACCUCCAAUCAAAAUGUGUUCUUUUGGCCUAUCUUUUGUUCCCCACCCCCACUUUUUUUUUUGAGACGGAGUCUUGCUGUGUCGCCCAGGCUGGAAUGCAGUG
rnacentral:lncRNA from 1 species